CGCUACUACGGCUUACACAUGCAAGUCCAGGGGCAGCAUGGGCUUAGCUUGCUAAGCCCGAUGGCGACCGGCGCACGGGUGAGUAACACGUAUCCAACCUGCCGAUCACUCCGGUACAGCCUUUCGAAGGAAAGAUUAAUCCCGGAUUGUAUGGCGAUUCCGCAUGGUUUCUCCAUUAAAGGUUUUUUCCGGUGAUCGAUGGGGAUGCGUUCCAUUAGGCAGUUGGCGGGGUAACGGCCCACCAAACCUACGAUGGAUAGGGGUUCUGAGAGGAAGGUCCCCCACAUUGGAACUGAGACACGGUCCAAACUCCUACGGGAGGCAGCAGUGAGGAAUAUUGGUCAAUGGGCGGAAGCCUGAACCAGCCAAGUAGCGUGAAGGAUGACUGCCCUAUGGGUUGUAAACUUCUUUUAUAAGGGAAUAAUUGCGGGUACGCGUACCUGUUUGCAUGUACCUUAUGAAUAAGGAUCGGCUAACUCCGUGCCAGCAGCCGCGGUAAU
rnacentral:rRNA from 1 species